CUGAACGGUAUGGUGUUUAGUCAUGGCAGUCUGAGCAGACCGUUAAAACUAGAGAAUCAUCCAAACUGCAAAAGCCAAAAGGAAAUUCUAGAGGAUGAAUAAUAAUUUCCUGAGUGAAACAAGGGAAGAGUGAGCCUCAACAACUCUGAAAUGAUGAAAUAUGCUAUCUCAAUGAUGCCCGUUGAGUUCAAGGACACAGCGCUGGGCAUCAGACCAGGCACACCUUAUGGGUGCCGUCCUCAUGGGUCUUGUAAGCCCCAGGAUAUGCCACCCCUCCCCUUUGAGGUCCCCUUUAAGAAGCGUGCUGACCCCCAAGGCCCAGCACAUGGCAUCAACCCCUGUGUGGCUGGCGGAAGGAAGGAAGGCCACGAGCUGCGCACACCUAGCAGGUGGAAAAAACUGGCAUGGAAAAACAACGGAAACCCAGGAACAAGGAGGAGCAGUGUGGCUGACCCCCUCCCUGCAGGGGGAGGUGGGGGAUGGCACGGAGCCGCAGCGGCGCCCCCAGGACUGUGUCGGGGGUGGCGAUGCUGGGUGUGAACUGCCAUUAGAAUACCCAUUACUAUGAUACUUUCCCAUCAGCAUAAAAUCCGCCGUUUGAACCA